rnacentral:rRNA from 1 species
UAAGGAAUAUUGGUCAAUGGACGCAAGUCUGAACCAGCCAUGCCGCGUGAAGGAUGAAGGUCCUCUGGAUUGUAAACUUCUUUUAUCUGGGACGAAAACGGGAUUUUUAUCUCAAUUGACGGUACCAGAGGAAUAAGCACCGGCUAACUCCGUGCCAGCAGCCGCGGUAAUACGGAGGGUGCGAGCGUUAUCCGGAUUUACUGGGUUUAAAGGGUGCGUAGGUGGGCUUAUAAGUCAGUGGUGAAAUCUCCGAGCUUAACUCGGAAACUGCCGUUGAUACUAUAGGUCUUGAAUUAUCUGGAGGUAAGCGGAAUAUGUCAUGUAGCGGUGAAAUGCUUAGAUAUGACAUAGAACACCAAUUGCGAAGGCAGCUUACUACAUAUAAAUUGACGCUGAGGCACGAAAGCGUGGGGAUCAAACA